rnacentral:rRNA from 1 species
UACAGAGGUCUCAAGCGUUUGUUCGGAUUCAUUGGGCGUAAAGGGUGUGUAGGUGGCGCGCUAAGUCGGGUGUGAAAUUUCGGAGCUUAACUCCGAAACUGCAUUCGAUACUGGCGUGCUUGAGGACUGGAGAGGAGACUGGAAUUUACGGUGUAGCAGUGAAAAUGCGUAGAUAUCGUAAGGAAGACCAGUGGCGAAGGCGGGUCUCUGGACAGUUCCUGACACUGAGACACGAAGGCCAGGGGAGCAAACGGG